CAAAGGCAUGGUCCUGACCUUAUUAUCAGCUCUUACCCGACUUACACAUGCAAGUCUCCGCAAUCCCGUGAGUAUGCCCUCAAUCCCCUGCCCGGGGACGAGGAGCGGGCAUCAGGCACAAAUUUUAGCCCAAGACGCCUGGCCAAGCCACACCCCCAAGGGAAUUCAGCAGUGAUAAACAUUAAGCCAUAAGUGAAAACUUGACUCAGUCAAGGUAAAGAGGGCCGGUAAAACUCGUGCCAGCCACCGCGGUUAAACGAGAGGCCCUAGUUGAUAAAACCACGGCGUAAAGGGUGGUUAAGGAAAGCAAAACAAAUUUAAAGCCAAAUGGCCCUUUGGCCGUCAUACGCUUCUAGGUGUCCGAAGCCCAAUUAUACGAAAGUAGCUUUAUAAAGCCCACC
rnacentral:rRNA from 1 species